rnacentral:rRNA from 1 species
CUACGGGACGCACCAGUGGGGAAUAUUGCACAAUGGGCGCAAGCCUGAUGCAGCCAUGCCGCGUGUAUGAAGAGGGCCUUCGGGUUGUAAAGUACUUUCAGCGGGGAGGAAGGGAGUAAAGUUAAUACCUUUGCUCAUUGACGUUACCCGCAGAAGAAGCACCGGCUAACUCCGUGCCAGCAGCCGCGGUAAUACGGAGGGUGCAAGCGUUAAUCGGAAUUACUGGGCGUAAAGCGCACGCAGGCGGUUUGUUAAGUCAGAUGUGAAAUCCCCGGGCUCAACCUGGGAACUGCAUCUGAUACUGGCAAGCUUGAGUCUCGUAGAGGGGGGUAGAAUUCCAGGUGUAGCGGUGAAAUGCGUAGAGAUCCGGAGGAAUACCGGUGGCGAAGGCGGCCCCCUGGACGAAGACUGACGCUCAGGUGCGAAAGCGUGGGGAGCAAACAGGAUUAGAUACCCUCGUAGUC